GGGUAUUGUUGUGGCAAGAAAUUAUUACCUAAGCUUGACGUUCUAGAGUACUUCCUCGACAGUGCAAAUGAUGUUGAAACUAAUCCCAUUGAUGUUUGUUGGGUCCUUGCUGUUCUGCAAUGCAGUUUGCGGUGACCCCUGCGACAGGGCCUGUUACAGGGACCUCUCCCUCGUCUGCGGGAGUGACGGGCAGACGUACAGGAACGUCUGCUACCUGUCCAUCCAAGCGUGUCGAUAUCCGGAGCUAAACAUCAAGGUUGUGAAGAAAGGAAUGUGUUAAGCUGAA